rnacentral:lncRNA from 1 species
CGACGUGGUUUCUGAUGGAGACGAUAGAUCACUAGCCCUAGACGCCCCUGGCCUUGCCUGCUCCUUGGACACUGGCCCCGCACAGUGCCUGCCUGGACCCUAGAGAAGGAUCUGGUCCCUUCAUCACUAUCUUCCCUGGUUCUCUUUUUCCUUCAGAUUCAGGAGCAAGGAGUGGUGGGUGGGCAGGGUUUGCAGCUCUGUUCCCCAAGACCUGCCACCUACUGCCUGCCUUGGUCACAUGUCUUCUCUUCCUCCCCUUGAUCCCAUGGUGAGGUGGGAGCAGGAAGGAGACCUCCUGCCGCCAGGUACACAGGAUUCCAGAACUUUCUUAGAUGGGCAUGGUGUGAAGCUGGACUGUGAGCCCCUGCUCUGUUUCCUUCCUGUUCUUCGGGCUGGAAAUUACUAACUG